rnacentral:rRNA from 1 species
AAGUCGACCGCCUGGGGAGUACGGCCGCAAGGUUAAAACUCAAAUGAAUUGACGGGGGCCCGCACAAGCGGUGGAGCAUGUGGUUUAAUUCGAUGCAACGCGAAGAACCUUACCUGGUCUUGACAUCCACAGAACUUUCCAGAGAUGGAUUGGUGCCUUCGGGAACUGUGAGACAGGUGCUGCAUGGCUGUCGUCAGCUCGUGUUGUGAAAUGUUGGGUUAAGUCCCGCAACGAGCGCAACCCUUAUCCUUUGUUGCCAGCGAUUAGGUCGGGAACUCAAAGGAGACUGCCAGUGAUAAACUGGAGGAAGGUGGGGAUGACGUCAAGUCAUCAUGGCCCUUACGACCAGGGCUACACACGUGCUACAAUGGCGCAUACAAAGAGAAGCGAACUCGCGAGAGCAAGCGGACCUCAUAAAGUGCGUCGUAGUCCGGAUUGGAGUCUGCAACUCGACUCCAUGAAGUCGGAAUCGCUAGUAAUCGUAGAUCAGAAUGCUACGGUGAAUACGUUCCCGGGCCUUGUACACACCGCCCGUCACACCAUGGGAGUGGGUUGCAAAAGAAGUAGGUAGCUU